rnacentral:rRNA from 1 species
ACUCAAAUGAAUUGACGGGGGCCCGCACAAGCGGUGGAUCAUGUGGUUUAAUUCGAAGCAACGCGAAGAACCUUACCUGGGUUUGACAUCCUGUGAAUGUUUUAGAAAUAAAAUAGGCCCGCAAGGGACACAGAGACAGGUGCUGCAUGGCUGUCGUCAGCUCGUGUUGUGAAAUGUUGGGUUAAGUCCCGCAACGAGCGCAACCCCUGCCUUUGGUUGCCAUCAUUCAGUUGGGCACUCCAGAGGGACUGCCGUCGUCAAGACGGAGGAAGGUGGGGAUGACGUCAAGUCCUCAUGGCCUUUAUAUCCAGGGCGACACACGUGAUACAAUGGUCGGUACAAAGGGUAGCCAAACGGUGACGUGGAGCCAAUCCCAAAAAACCGAUCUCAGUUCGGAUUGGAGUCUGCAACCCGACUCCAUGAAGUUGGAAUCGCUAGUAAUCGCGGAUCAGAACGCCGCGGUGAAUACGUUCCCGGGCCUUGUACACACCGCCCGU